rnacentral:rRNA from 1 species
GAAGCUCAACCGGCACUGCCCAAAACGUCAGGUCGAGGUGUAGCGUACGGAGGGGGAAGAAAUGGGCUACAUUUCCUAACUCAGGACACACGGAAGAUAGCAUUGAAAAUUGCAUCUGAAGGUGGAUCUAAUAGUAAGCAGAAAAUAGAGAGUCCUGCUGAAACUGGCCCUAAAGCGCGUACAUACCGCCCGUCACUCUCCCCGAGCUAAAAUUUUAACUAACUAAAACCUUUCAACUGCAAAGGGGAGACAAGUCGUAACAUGGUAAGUGUACCGGAAGGUGUACUUGGAACAAU